rnacentral:rRNA from 1 species
GCCUACGGGGGGCAGCAGUAGGGAAUCUUCCACAAUGGGCGCAAGCCUGAUGGAGCAACACCGCGUGAGUGAAGAAGGGUUUCGGCUCGUAAAGCUCUGUUGUUGGAGAAGAACGUGCGUGAGAGUAACUGUUCACGCAGUGACGGUAUCUAACCAGAAAGCCACGGCUAACUACGUGCCAGCAGCCGCGGUAAUACGUAGGUGGCAAGCGUUAUCCGGAUUUAUUGGGCGUAGAGGGAACGCAGGCGGGCUUUUAAGUCUGAUGUGAAAGCCUUCGGCUUAACCGG